rnacentral:lncRNA from 1 species
AGGUUUCUCUCAUCUUGUGCUGUUUGACUGAACCCAUUUGCUUUUGAAGGAUGAUGAAUAGUGAGGACAAUCAUGGAGAUUUGAGAAGUGACUGUGGUUUUUACCUAUUUACAGUGGAGGACAAUUUUACUGACAUUUUAUAUGAUUGCAGUUUUAGUCUUAGAAUAGCAUCGAGAAGAUACGAGUUUUCUCUGGUAAUGUUUUUUGCUACUGACGAGAUCAACAAGAAUCCUUAUCUUUUACCCAACACGUCUUUGCUAUUCUCCUUCAUGGAUGGCCUGUGUGAAGAUAAAUUGGGACUCUGGGUAGCCACCAAGGACACACGUUUGUCCCAUGGCAUGGUCUCCGUGAUGCUUCGUUUUAGAUGAACUUGGAUAGGACAGGUCAUCUCAGAUGAUGACCAGGGUAUUCAGUUUCUCUCAGACUCAACAGAAGAAAUGCAAAGACAUGGGAUCUGUUUAGCUUUGUGAAUGUGAUCCCAGAAAACAUGCACAUAUAUGUGACAAGGGCUAAGACAUAUGAUAAGCAAAUUAUGACAUCAUCAGCAAAAGUUAUUAUCCUUUAUGGUGAAAUGAACUCAACUCUAGAAGUCAGCUUUAGAAGAUGGGAAUAUUUAAGUGCACGGAGAAUUUGAAUCACAACCUCACAAUGGGAUGUCAUCACAAUUAAAAGAGAUUUCGCCUUGAUUUCUUCAUGGGACUGUCACUUUUGCACACCACAAAGGUGAGAUUGCUAAAUUUAGGAAUUUUUUGCAAACAAUGAAAACCAACAAAUACCAGUAAACAUUUCUGAGUCUAUACUGGAGUGGAAUUAUUUUAAUUGUUCAGUCUCUAAGAACAGCAAUAAAAUUGAUCAUUUUACAUUCAACAACACAUCGGAAUGGACAGCAUUGCACAAAUGUGACAUGGCCCUAAGUGAAGAAGGUUACAGUCUGUAUAAUGUUGUCCAUGUUGUGGUCCACACCUACCAUGACUUCAACAAGUAGAGUCUCAGAAAAUAGCAGAACCCAAAGGAUUAUUCACUGACGGUCAGCAGAUGGUUUCCUUGCUGAAAGCCCAGGUAUUUACUAACCCUGUUGGAGAACUGGUGAACGUGAAUCAUAGGGAAUAUCAGUGUGUAGAGUAUGACAUUUGUACCAUUUGGAAUUUUCCACAAGGCCUUGGAUUAAAAGUAAAAAUAGGAAGAUAUUUUCCUUGUUUCCCA